rnacentral:rRNA from 1 species
AACCUACCUAUAAGACUGGGAUAACUUCGGGAAACCGGAGCUAAUACCGGAUAAUAUUUUGAACCGCAUGGUUCAAAAGUGAAAGACGGUCUUGCUGUCACUUAUAGAUGGAUCCGCGCUGCAUUAGCUAGUUGGUAAGGUAACGGCUUACCAAGGCAACGAUGCAUAGCCGACCUGAGAGGGUGAUCGGCCACACUGGAACUGAGACACGGUCCAGACUCCUACGGGAGGCAGCAGUAGGGAAUCUUCCGCAAUGGGCGAAAGCCUGACGGAGCAACGCCGCGUGAGUGAUGAAGGUCUUCGGAUCGUAAAACUCUGUUAUUAGGGAAGAACAUAUGUGUAAGUAACUGUGCACAUCUUGACGGUACCUAAUCAGAAAGCCACGGCUAACUACGUGCCAGCAGCCGCGGUAAUACGUAGGUGGCAAGCGUUAUCCGGAAUUAUUGGGCGUAAAGCGCGCGUAGGCGGUUUUUUAAGUCUGAUGUGAA